CCCUGACCAUGUGACCUGACCAGUUAACACUCCGUGUCCUAGUGAAGUGAUGGAUGAUUUGUUGUGUCAAGCUUUUGGGUUCUCAGGUCUCAUGUCUCAGCUGUGAGGCCACUGCACUGAGAACUGGUGUUACGGAGGAUCAGUAUGGACUUGUGAGUGAGGAAGCUAUCCUGUUAAGCAUGCUCAGUGACGCCUGUAACACUGGGCACUCUACUGUGUCUCUACUGUGUCUCUACUGGACUCUACUGGACUACUGGUCUCCACUCUGUCUCCACUGGACUCUACUGGACUCUACUGUGUCUUCACUGUGUCUCUACUGGACUCUACUGCACUAGUGGUCUCCACUCUGUCUCCACUGGACUCUACUGGACUCUACUGUGUCUUCACUGUGUCUCUACUGGACUCUACUGCACUACUGGUCUCCACUCUGUCUCCACUGGACUCUACUGGACUCUACUGUGUCUUCACUGUGUCUCUACUGGACUCUACUGCACUACUGGUCUCCACUCUGUCUCCACUGGACUCUACUGGUCUCUACUGUGCCUCCACUGGACUCUACUGGACUACUGGUCUCCACUCUGUCUCCACUGGACUCUACUGGACUACUGGUCUCCACUCUGUCUCUACUGGUCUCUACUGUGUCUCUACUGGACUCUACUGGUCUCUACUGGUAUCUACUGUGUCUCUACUGGUCUCUACUGGACUCUACUGGACUACUGGUCUCCACUCUGUUUCUACUGGACUCUACUGGUCUCUACUGGACUCUACCGGUCUCUACCGGUCUCUACUGGACUCUACUGGACUCUACUGAUCUCUACGGGACUACUGGUCUCCACUCUGUCUCCACUGGACUCUACUGGACUCUACUGUGUCUCUACUGGACUCUACUGGACUCUACUGUGUCUCGACUAGACUCUACUGGACUCUACUGUGUCUUUACUGGACUCUACUGGACUCUACUGUGUCUCUACUGUGUCUCUACUGGACUCUACUGUGUCUUUACUGGACUCUACUGGUCUCUACUGGACUCUACUGGACUCUACUGUGUCUCUGCUGGACUCUACUGGACUCUAGUGUGUCUCUACUGUGUCUCUACUGUGUCUCUACUGGACUCUACUGGACUCUACUGGUCUCUAUUGGACUCUACUGUGUCUCUACUGUGUCUCUACUGGACUCUACUGUGUCUUUACUGGACUCUACUGGUCUCUACUGGACUCUAGUGUGUCUCUACUGUGUCUCUACUGGACUCUACUGGACUCUACUGUGUCUCUACUGGGCUCUACUGGACUCUACUGGUCUCUAUUGGACUCUACUGUGUCUCUACUGGACUCUACUGGACUCUACUGGAUUCUGAAAACAACAGACACACAACAGACCACUCUGACAACAGACAUAUAAUAGACCAUUCUGACAACAACAGACCACUCUGACAACAACAGACGCACAACUGACCACUCGGACAACAACAGACACACAACAGACCACUCUGACAACAACAGACCACUCUGACAACAACAGACCACUCUGACGACAAAAGACCACUCUGACAACAACAGACCACUCUGACAACAACAGACCACUCUGACGACAAAAGACCACUCUGACGACAAAAGACCACUCUGACAACAACAGACCACUCUGACGACAACAGACCACUCUGACGACAAUAGACCACUCGGACAACAACAGACCACUCUGAAAACAACAGACACACAACAGACCACUCUGACAACAACAGACCACUCUGACAACAACAGACCACUCUGACAACAACAGACCACUCUGACAACAACAGACCACUCUGACGACAAAAGACCACUCUGACAACAACAGACCACUCUGACAACAACAGACCACUCUGACGACAAAAGACCACUCUGACAACAACAGACCACUCUGACAACAACAGACCACUCUGACGACAAAAGACCACUCUGACAACAACAGACACACAACAAACCCUCGCC
rnacentral:lncRNA from 1 species